AUGCCCACACCAACUGAAGAGGAAAACAAUGAUGAUGAUCAAGGUACUUCGGAUCAAGUUACUGCUGAACUUCGUAGGUCCACAAGGACACGUUCCGCACCUGAGUGGUACGGCAACCCUGUCCUGGAAAUCAUGUUGUUAGACAACAAUGAACCUUCGAACUAUGAAGAAGCGAAGGCGGGCCCGGAUUCCAACAAAUGGCUUGAAGCCAUGAAAUCCGAGAUAGAAUCCAUGUAUGAAAACAAAGUAUGGACUUUGACAGACUUGCCCGAUGAUCGGCGAGCGAUAGAAAACAAAUGGAUCUUUAAGAAGAAGACGGACGGGGAUGGUAAUGUUACAAUCUAUAAGGCUCGACUUGUCGCUAAGGGUUAUCGACAAGUUCAAGGGAUUGACUACGACGAGACUUUCUCUCCCGUAGCGAAGCUGAAGUCCGUCUGA
rnacentral:rRNA from 1 species